CUAGGGAUAGAUAACCUAUUAUUAAAAAUGUAAAUUUUUUUACUUAAUUAGUAUUAGUUAUGUUCUUGAAAAUUAAAAAAUUUGGCGGUAUUUUAGUCUUUUCAGAGGAACCUGUUCUAUAAUCGAUAGUCCACGAUUAGAUGCACUUUAUUUAUUAGUUUAUAUAUCGUCGUAGUUUAAAUAUUUUAAUAGAAUUAUAAAUAUUUAAAAUUUUUUAUUAAAAAAUAAAUCAGAUCAAGGUGUAGUUUAUAAUAAAGAAGAAAUGGGUUACAAUAAAUUUAUUUUAAAAUAAUUUUUGUUAAAAAAAUUUGAAUUUGGAUUUGAGAGUAAUUUUUUAGAUUUUUUUAAGAUGAUUAAAGCUCUAAAAUAUGUACAUAUCGCCCGUCGCUUUCAUUUUAAAAUGAAAUAAGUCUA
rnacentral:rRNA from 1 species